rnacentral:rRNA from 1 species
CCUACGGGUGGCAGCAGUGAGGAAUAUUGGUCAAUGGACGAGAGUCUGAACCAGCCAAGUAGCGUGAAGGAUGACUGCCCUCUGGGUUGUAAACUUCUUUUAUAUGGGAAUAAAAUGUUCCAUGCGUGGGCUUUUGUAUGUACCAUAUGAAUAAGGAUCGGCUAACUCCGUGCCAGCAGCCGCGGUAAUACGGAGGAUCCGAGCGUUAUCCGGAUUUAUUGGGUUUAAAGGGAGCGUAGGUGGAUUGUUAAGUCAGUUGUGAAAGUUUGCGGCUCAACCGUAAAAUUGCAGUUGAAACUGGCAGUCUUGAGUACAGUAGAGGUGGGCGGAAUUCGUGGUGUAGCGGUGAAAUGCUUAGAUAUCACGAAGAACUCCGAUUGCGAAGGCAGCUCACUGGACUGCAACUGACACUGAGGCUCGAAAGUGUGGGUAUCAAACAGGAUUAGAUACCCGAGUAGUC